UACGAGUGCCUCAAGCGUUAUCCGGAAUCAUUGGGCGUAAAGGAUGUGUAGGUGGUUGUGUUAGUCUCUUGUUAAAUUCUUCGGCUUAACCGGGGGCAUGCAAGGGAAACGGCACGACUAGAGGAUGCGAGGGGUCUGCGGAACUCCUAGUGUAGCGGUGAAAUGCGUUGAUAUUAUGGGGAACACCAAAAGCGAAGGCAGCAGACUGGAGCACUCCUGACACUGAAACAUGAAAGCGUGGGUCGCGAAUGGG
rnacentral:rRNA from 1 species